CCGGAUUUAUUGGGUUUAAAGGGUGCGUAGGCUGUUUUGUAAGUCAGCGGUGAAAGACCGGGGCCCAACUCCGGAAGUGCCGUUGAUACUGCAUUGCUAGAGUUCCCCUGCCGUGGGAGGAAUGAGUGGUGUAGCGGUGAAAUGCAUAGAUAUCACUCAGAACACCGAUUGCGAAGGCAUCUCACGAAGAGGCAACUGACGCUGAGGCACGAAAGCGUGGGGAUCAAACAGGAUUAGAUACCCUGGUAGUCCACGCUGUAAACGAUGAUGACUAGCUGCCGGCGAUACACUGUCGGUGGCCCAGCGAAAGCGAUAAGUCAUCCACCUGGGGAGUACGACCGCAAGGUUGAAACUCAAAGGAAUUGACGGGGGCCCGCACAAGCGGAGGAACAUGUGGUUUAAUUCGAUGAUACGCGAGGAACCUUACC
rnacentral:rRNA from 1 species